GACGAACGCUGGCGGCGUGCCUAAUACAUGCAAGUAGAACGCUGAAGAGAGGAGCUUGCUCUUCUUGGAUGAGUUGCGAACGGGUGAGUAACGCGUAGGUAACCUGCCUUGUAGCGGGGGAUAACUAUUGGAAACGAUAGCUAAUACCGCAUAACAAUGGAUGACACAUGUCAUUUAUUUGAAAGGGGCAAUUGCUCCACUACAAGAUGGACCUGCGUUGUAUUAGCUAGUAGGUGAGGUAACGGCUCACCUAGGCGACGAUACAUAGCCGACCUGAGAGGGUGAGCGGCCACACUGGGACUGAGACACGGCCCAGACUCCUACGGGAGGCAGCAGUAGGGAAUCUUCGGCAAUGGGGGCAACCCUGACCGAGCAACGCCGCGUGAGUGAAGAAGGUUUUCGGAUCGUAAAGCUCUGUUGUAAGUCAAGAACGAGUGUGAGAGUGGAAAGUUCACACUGUGACGGUAGCUGACCAGAAAGGGACGGCUAACUACGUG
rnacentral:rRNA from 1 species